AUGCAGAGCCCAUCGGUCUUCCCCUUGACCCCCUGUUCCAAAGACCUCGCUGUGGGCGCCGCCUCCGUGAUGCUGGGCUGCCUGGUCAGGGACUACUUCCCGGAGCCGGUGACUGUGACCUGGGACACGGGGUCCCUGACAACAAGCAUCAUGACCCUCCCCGCCACCUUCAACCAGAACUCCAGCCUCUACACCACCAGCAGCCAUGUGAUCGUCUCUGACGAGUGGGCUGAACAGCGGUUCACCUGCUGGGUGGGGCACCCUGGGUCCACACCCAUCAACGUCAACAUGACCAUAUCACCAGCACCAGCGUGCACCAUGAACGUCACCCUGCCCAUGGUGGGGAUCUUCCACUCAUCCUGCGACCCCAGCGGCAACCCCCAUGCCGCCAUGCGGCUGCUGUGCCUCAUCCCCGGCUUCACCCCGGGUGACCUCAAGGUCACCUGGCUGGUGGAUGGGCAGCCCAAGGACCUGCUCCCGGUCACUGGCCCUGCCAGCUGGGAGGGCGCGCCGGCCUCUACUGUCAGCGAGCUCUACAUCAGCCAGGGCGAGUGGCUGUCCCGGAGAACCUACGCCUGCCAGGCCAGCCUGCACGGCUGCACGGUGAAGGCCGAAGCCCGCGCCUGCCCAGAGCCCGAGCCCCGAGGUGUGAGCGUCUACGUGAUUCCGCCCAGCCCCCUGGACCUGUAUGUGCACAAGUCACCCAAGGUCUCCUGCCUGGUGGUGGACUUGGCCAGCCUGGAGGGCAUGAGCCUGCAGUGGUCCCGGGAGGGCAGGGGCCUCCUGGCCCAGGCCACCCAGAGCAGCAAGCGCCACUUCAACAUGACCUACUCCGUCACCUCCACCCUGCCCGUGGACACCAGUGACUGGGUGGAGGGCGAGACCUACCAGUGCAGGCUGAGCCACCCAGACCUGCCCCGGCCCAUCCUGCGCACCAUCGCCAAGGCCCCGGGCAAGCGUGCUGCCCCCGAGGUCUUCGUGUUCCCGCCGCCCAAGGAGCAGGGGGCCCAGGACAAGCUCACCCUCACUUGCCUGAUCCAGGGCUUCUUCCCUGCCGACAUCUCGGUGCAGUGGCUGCAGGACGAGGCCCUGAUCGCCAGUGAUCAGCACGCCACCACGCAGCCCCUCAGGGACCUAGGUGCCAGCCCCGCCUUCUUCGUCUUCAGCCGCCUGGAGGUCAGCCAGGCCAACUGGGAAAGGAGGAGCAAAUUCACCUGCCGAGUGACCCACGAGGCUCUGGACGGCAACCGGACCCGCGAGCAUUCAGUGUUUAAAGGCAAAGACCCUGAGCUGGAUCUGCAGGACGUGUGCGUGGGGGCAGCCGAGGCGGAGGAGCUUGAUGAGCUGUGGCACAGCCUCUUCGUCUUCAUUGCGCUCUUCCUGCUCAGUGUGACCUAUGGUGCCUCCGUUACCCUCUUCAAGGUGCAGUGGGUCUUGGGCGCUUUCCUGCAGGGGCCACCCCGGGCCGCCCAUGACUAUGAGAACAUCGAGGACCCUGCAUGGCCGGAGGCCUUGGCACGGAGCAGCUGA